CAGAUAUUGACUUGAUGAUGUGAUUGGAACAUUGAAUAUUAUAUUUUCAUUGCUCAGGUUUGUGGUAAAUUUAAAAAGUGUGGACUAUAAAGGUAAACUAUGUUCUAGUUACACUAUGGCUACUUUACUGUCUGGACAUUCUGCCUGAUACCACUACUGCAGAUUACAUGUAGGUGUAGGAUAGUUAAAACAUUUUUUUAGAGAUAC